rnacentral:rRNA from 1 species
CCUACGGGUGGCAGCAGUGGGGAAUAUUGGACAAUGGGGGGAACCCUGAUCCAGCCAUGCCGCGUGUGUGAAGAAGGCCCUCGGGUUGUAAAGCACUUUCAGUGAGGAAGAACGCCUGGUGGUUAAUACCCAUCAGGAAAGACAUCACUCACAGAAGAAGCACCGGCUGACUCCGUGCCAGCAGCCGCGGUAAUACGGAGGGUGCGAGCGUUAAUCGGAAUUACUGGGCGUAAAGCGCGCGUAGGUGGCUUGAUAAGCCGGUUGUGAAAGCCCCGGGCGCAACCUGGGAACGGCAUCCGGAACUGUCAAGCUAGAGUGCAGGAGAGGAAGGUAGAAUUCCCGGUGUAGCGGUGAAAUGCGUAGAGAUCGGGAGGAAUACCAGUGGCGAAGGCGGCCUUCUGGACUGACACUGACACUGAGGUGCGAAAGCGUGGGUAGCAAACAGGAUUAGAUCCCUGGUAGUC